rnacentral:rRNA from 1 species
UGGGGAAUCUUGCGCAAUGGGCGAAAGCCUGACGCAGCAACGCCGCGUGGGGGAUGAAGGCUCUCGGGUUGUAAACCCCUUUCAGUGGGGACGAAAUUGACGGUACCCACAGAAGAAGCCCCGGCCAACUACGUGCCAGCAGCCGCGGUAACACGUAGGGGGCAAGCGUUGUCCGGAUUUAUUGGGCGUAAAGAGCUCGUAGGCGGUUCGGUAAGUCGGGUGUGAAACCUCCAGGCUCAACCUGGAGACGCCACCCGAUACUGCUGUGACUAGAGUCCGGUAGGGGAGCGUGGAAUUCCUGGUGUAGCGGUGAAAUGCGCAGAUAUCAGGAGGAACACCAGCGGCGAAGGCGGCGCUCUGGGCCGGAACUGACGCUGAGGAGCGAAAGCGUGGGGAGCAAACAG